GUGUUGCGUUCUUUGGUUCAUUGUUGGUGUUUCAAUCGGAUAGUAGGAUUAUUGGGGACGUUGAAUCACCCGACGAGCGGGGCUGCCCUGGGACCACCGCCCAAAGUUGAACAUAUUUUUACUUUUAUGCACGGUGAAAAACCUCAGAAAGCGAGAAGCGCAUCUUAACGCUGCUCUGAACCGAUCCGACUGAUCAGAGCUCACAAAGGUUUCCACAAUGAAAGGUUCAAGGCUUCAGGUGCGCAAUUCAGAAAACGGAGAGAAGAGGAGGAAAGCAAAGCUUGAAUUAGUUGUGGCUGGCUAUAUGCCACAGCUAGGCCUAUUGUCUAACUUUAUUUACUCUCCAACAUUCUUGGAUCCUCUGCCGAUGUCCCCAGCUGCUGCAGAAGGGACAUCUGAUCUCCGGUCUUCACCUCGCCUCUCUCUGGAGCAUCCUACAGGUCAAGCAACAUCCAGCACCACAUCCAGGCCUCCAGCUCCCUCCAGGGCAACACAGGCUGAAGGGAAGCUGGAAAGUAUCCGUUCUGAAUUUGUGCAGAGAGUUUCAAUCCCAGUUAUCAAAGGUCUCCUGGAUGACCUUUGGCAGCAGAAAUUGUUGAGUACUGAGGACAAGGAUUUUGUGAUGGAGAAGGGGAAGAUCAAAACGGACAUGGCACGGUGUCUGAUCGACAUGGUUAUCGGGAAAGGGGAGACGGCAAGUAAGGAAAUGAUCGAUAGCAUGAAGAAGAGGGACAAUCCCUUACGCAUCACCCUGGGUCUGAUCUCUUCUCCUACUGCUAGUGGGGCUGAGUUCUAACUGAGUGUAUUUUUAAAGAAAAUUAUUACUGUCGACUUUGUACGUAAUUGUUCAACACAUGUUUAGAAUAGGACCUCCUGCCUGUGCUAGUACAUAUACAUACAUAUAUAUACCUAUACAUACAUACAAAUAUAAAGUGUACUUAGCUUUUCCUCUCGGGUACCUCCUAUAUCCAGAUAUAGUAUAUAUAGAUGUUCUUCACUGCUUAUGUGGAGAGUGUCUUGACCUUCUGCAUAAUCUGCUGGUUUGGCAGCGCAGCAGAAGCACAGAGAAGAGUAGGCUUAGGAAAAUAGUGACCACUGCCAGCAAGCUGUUGGGUACUAAUUUAAGUAAUCUGGAAAACUCCGACAGAAAGUUCAGAGUCAAUUAGAAAUUAUUUUAGCAAAUUCAAAACACCCACUUUUCUCCACCUUUGAACUAUUACCCUCAGGUAGCAGGUUUCGAUACCCAGCCCUCUCCAAAAAUAGAACAAAACAGUAAUUCCUUCCGCAAUCCAUCAGCCUUUUAAACAAACAUUUAAAAAGGUUUUAAUUGUUGGUUUAAAAUGCCAACAUCUUUAGAUGUGUCCCUGAACUAUGUGGAAAAUAUGAUGAUUUGGGGGUUUUGUCUUGUCAGUGGUUGUUUAUCUUUAUUUACUUUUUGUUGUUUGUUUUUCAUGUUGUUGUUAAGGGUCAUGUGUAUCCGUCUUUUCACUGAGAACCAUUUCCCCAAGGGGACAAUACAUUUCUAACUAACUAUAUAGGAGGUUGGCAGGUUGGCUUGUAAACUGAAGGUUGCUAGUUCGAUCCCUUUUCUGUGUCCCUGAGAAACACCUAACCCUAACUGCUCCCGAUGAGCUGAUGGAACAUUGCAUGGUUUACUCCGCCGUGUGUAUUAGGGCUGUGUGACGCUUUGGAUAAAAGCGUCUGCUAAAUGCCCUAAAUGUAAAUACAGAUAUGAAUUUGUAAACAUAUUUAAGUUAUUUUUGUAUGGUUGUGAUCACAGACUUUGUAAAACAUGUUGACAUUAUGCCACAGAAAGAUUUUGUCUUUGCUUCGACAUUUUUGAUAAUCCACAAUGACUAGAAUAAACUUUAAUAAUCUUCCCCAAGUGGCAGCUAGCAUUGGGUCAUAUAAUCUUUUUAUAUAUAUAAAUUAUACAUGUUAACAUGGAUAUAACCAAACUCCCACUCUCAGGGUUUUCACUAACAUUAUCCUGACCCAGGAAAGUUCAGACAUCUGUUUGGGGCAAAAUAAAAAUGGUUUAUGGAGAA